rnacentral:lncRNA from 1 species
AUCUCCUUCUGAAACCUUCUGAAAAAGAUCCUCACUGCUCAUACACUUGCACCUGAAGCUUCCCCUUCCCUCUGACCUUGUCUGCCCCCUUUGCUUCUACUUCAUUGCUCCAUUAUGAUCCAUUCAACAUUGCAAUCCCCCACCGGUGGCAGUUCCACUUCCAAUACAGUGUUAAACGCCUGGCACUUAACUUUAGGUGCUAAUUGCCUAGUAAUGAAACCUUUAAUCAUCAGGAUCAUUUCCUCCAGUUUUGAAGACCACCAUCUACUUCUGUUUCAUGGCUUGUAAUUAUCUAGGUAUUAGACACAAGACUCCACAGAAAAUGUUAACUCUUCCAGGAAGGUUUUAAUUGAACUU